UUAAUUGAAACCAAAAAGAGGUAUAUCAUUGUUAAUGAUAUAAUUGAAACAUUUUUCCAAUUAAA
rnacentral:tRNA from 1 species